GCAUGGCAAAAUAAAAAGUUACCAACCAAUGAAAAGAGCGAAACAAAGCUAUCAUAAUCAUAGCAUGGUUCAGGUUUUUAUGCAUAAAAUGCUUGGUUUUGCCUGACACAAUGCAUAAACAUAAAUUUCAAAAGAAAAUAGUCACAUAAAUGACCGAUCGUAGACUACACUUAUGAACAGUUAUUGAAUAAUCAAUCAAAUACACGCAAAAAUAGUAUAGCGCUGCUCAAAAGUCAUAACUUGAUUGAGAGAAAUAAAAAAAAGUUGCAAACUAAAAUCGAAGGAAACACAAUAAUAUAUGGCGAAAAACAACAGAACAGGAAAAACACUGACUAGCAACAAAAACAAAUGACAACAUACAUAAAAAAAGACCUAUGCGAUAACAACUGCAAUAUUCUUGACAGUGUACGGGACAUUUCACUCAAGAAAACAAAUGUUAUUUUGAACCUGGUUAUAUGACUAGCCACCCCUCUCCG
rnacentral:lncRNA from 1 species